GAUGAACGCUGGCGGCGUGCCUAAUACAUGCAAGUAGAACACUGAAGCUUGGUGCUUGCACCGAGCGGAUGAGUUGCGAACGGGUGAGUAACGCGUAGGUAACCUGCCUCUUAGCGGGGGAUAACUAUUGGAAACGAUAGCUAAUACCGCAUAAAAGUCGACAUUGCAUGAUGUUGACUUGAAAGGUGCAAUUGCAUCACUAAGAGAUGGACCUGCGUUGUAUUAGCUAGUUGGUGAGGUAACGGCUCACCAAGGCGACGAUACAUAGCCGACCUGAGAGGGUGAUCGGCCACACUGGGACUGAGACACGGCCCAGACUCCUACGGGAGGCAGCAGUAGGGAAUCUUCGGCAAUGGGGGCAACCCUGACCGAGCAACGCCGCGUGAGUGAAGAAGGUUUUCGGAUCGUAAAGCUCUGUUGUAAGAGAAGAACGAGUGUGAGAGUGGAAAGUUCACACUGUGACGGUAACUUACCAGAAAGGGACGGCUAACUACGUGCCAGCAGCCGCGGUAAUACGUAGGUCCCGAGCGUUAUCCGGAUUUAUUGGGCGUAAAGCGAGCGCAGGCGGUUAGAUAAGUCUGAAGUUAAAGGCUGUGGCUUAACCAUAGUACGCUUUGGAAACUGUUUAACUUGAGUGCAGAAGGGGAGAGUGGAAUUCCAUGUGUAGCGGUGAAAUGCGUAGAUAUAUGGAGGAACACCGGUGGCGAAAGCGGCUCUCUGGUCUGUAACUGACGCUGAGGCUCGAAAGCGUGGGGAGCAAACAGG
rnacentral:rRNA from 1 species